rnacentral:lncRNA from 1 species
ACCAAUUGACCCUCUUCAAUCUCAGAGUAAGUGGGUAAAGUUAUCUUUCCCAAACAACCAUCAAACCCCUUCUGGUGAAAUGGUAAAAGCCCUGUUUCGACCCCCUCCACUGCUCUCCAUGAUCUCAUAUUUUCUACCAUAGUGUCUGCAAUGCCUCUUCGAUCCCCGGUAAUUUUCUCCUGGCCUCAGCUCAAUUAUGG